AAAUGUUUUUUCCUCCUAUGGGUCCCUAAUACUUCUGUUACUACCUAGGUUGUAAAUGGGGAUGUGGAAAGAAGACAUUAUGGCUGGGAGCUGCUCUGGCAGAACAGCAAUGUGCGCUCUACUGUCUCCUAGGGACCAUCUUUGCGUAGAUGCCUCUCACUUUUUACUGCUGCUCCCCUAGGCCCUCCACUGUCCUCUGCCACAAGCAGCUCGUUGUAAAACAGCCCCAAACAAAGGUAAUGGUUGUGGCAUUAUGGAAAUCAAAGUCAUUUGCAUGAUUUCCUUCAUGGCCCGAAUCCAUAGCUUCCAGCUGGCAGCCGCAAUCCUUCCUAAGAAGAUGGAUGUCUUUGAGCCAGGCCUGUCACUUGCCGAGGCAAACAUGUACCGUGUGGUGCCUGUAAAGUGGGGUCUGGGGAAGCUGCCCGGAAAUAAAUGAUGGCCGACAGCAACUUCACGGAAACUUUGGAAGCAGGAUAAUGAGAAGCAAGGCUGAUUUUGUUCUCUUCCUACAAAAGGCAUUUGGUCUUCAGUGUUAUCUCUGAAAGGAGGAAAUAAAUAGAAAGUCCCAAUCUGUCUCUUUGGCAAGACGAAGAGCUUGUGUCAGAAAUGGACUGGAUGUGUUUAAGAGGUCAAGAAAGAAGAUGUCCUUUCUGAAGUGGAUUGAAAUCUCCAGGGCUCUUUGAAGUCUCUUGCCAUUCCUUUUGAACAGAUGUUGAAAUAAAGGGGAA